GACGAACGCUGGCGGCGUGCUUAACACAUGCAAGUCGAACGCUGAAGACCUGGCUUUUGUUGGGUUGGAUGAGUGGCGAACGGGUGAGUAACACGUGAGUAACCUGCCCUCUUCUUUGGGAUAACGCCCGGAAACGGGUGCUAAUACUGGAUAUUCACUGAUCUUCGCAUGGGGGUUGGUGGAAAGGUUUGUUCUGGUGGGGGAUGGGCUCGCGGCCUAUCAGCUUGUUGGUGGGGUGAUGGCCUACCAAGGCUUUGACGGGUAGCCGGCCUGAGAGGGUGACCGGUCACAUUGGGACUGAGAAACGGCCCAGACUCCUACGGGAGGCAGCAGUGGGGAAUAUUGCACAAUGGGCGAAAGCCUGAUGCAGCGACGCCGCGUGAGGGAUGGAGGCCUUCGGGUUGUAAACCUCUUUCGCUCAUGGUCAAGCCGCAACUGUGGGUUGUGGUGAGGGUAGUGGGUAAAGAAGCGCCGGCUAACUACGUG
rnacentral:rRNA from 1 species